rnacentral:rRNA from 1 species
CCUACGGGAGGCAGCAGGGGGGGAUAUUGCACAAUGGGGGAAACCCUGAUGCAGCGACGCCGCGUGGGCGAAGAAGUAUUUCGGUAUGUAAAGCCCUAUCAGCAGGGAAGAAGAGAUGACGGUACCUGAGUAAGAAGCACCGGCUAAAUACGUGCCAGCAGCCGCGGUAAUACGUAUGGUGCAAGCGUUAUCCGGAUUUACUGGGUGGAAAGGGAGCGCAGGCGGCACGGCAAGCCUGAUGUGAAAGCCCGCGGCCCAACCGCGGGACUGCAUUGGGAACUACCGGGCUGGAGUGCCGGAGAGGUAGGCGGAAUUCCUAGUGUAGCGGUGAAAUGCGUAGAUAUUAGGAGGAACACCAGUGGCGAAGGCGGCCUACUGGACGGUGACUGACGCUGAGGCUCGAAAGCGUGGGGAGCAAACAGGAUUAGAUACCCGAGUAGUC